UACGUAGGGGCCUCGCGUUGUCCGGCUUUAUUGGGCGUAAAGAGCUCGUAGGCGGUUCGGUAAGUCAGGUGUGAAAUCUCCACGCUCAACGUGGAGGCGCCACCUGAAACUGCCGUGACUCGAGUCCGGUAGGGGAGUGUGGAAUUCCUGGUGUAGCGGUGAAAUGCGCAGAUAUCAGGAGGAACACCAGUGGCGAAGGCAGCUCGCUGGGACGCGACUGACGCUGAGACGCGAAAGCGUGGGGAGCAAACAGG
rnacentral:rRNA from 1 species